rnacentral:tRNA from 1 species
AGUAACGUCAGCUAAAAAAGCUUUUGGGCUCAUUACCCAACUAUGUAGGUUUAAAUCCUUCCGUACUA